CAAAGAAGAAAGCAACCUCAGGAAGCAACCAAAGUUUAUUGUCACCUUGCCACAGCUGUUGCUCCUGUUUAAAGUAUGCCCAUCAUGUGGUACUGAUAAGCCAAUAGUUAAAGUAUCAAAAGUUGGUACUAUGGCUGAUAUAAACAUGUCAUGUGGCAACCUUAGUUGUAAAAAUAGAUAGCACAACUGGAAGUUACAAUCAUUUCUGCCAGGUUCCUGUAUUCCAAUGGGAAACUUUCUCCUCUCAUUUGCCAUUUUAUUGUCUGGAGGUUCUGCUAGCAAGGUACUUCGAGUAUUCACACACAUGGGUCUUCAAGGCAUAUCUUUGACCACAUUCUUCAAACAUCAAAGGGAAUUGCUUUUCCCAAUGGUCAGGAUCCAUUGGAGGAAAUACAAGCUGGCCAUGUUGGAAGCAAUUAAGAAGCA